rnacentral:rRNA from 1 species
GCCGGAACACAGGUGCUGCAUGGCUGUCGUCAGCUCGUGUCGUGAGAUGUUGGGUUAAGUCCCGCAACGAGCGCAACCCUCGUUCUUAGUUGCCAGCAGGUAAAGCUGGGCACUCUAGGAAGACUGCCGAUGACAAAUCGGAGGAAGGUGGGGAUGACGUCAAGUCAGCAUGGCCCUUACGUCCUGGGCGACACACGUACUACAAUGGUGGGGACAAAGGGCAGCGACCCCGCGAGGGCGAGCGAAUCUCAGCAAACCCUACCUCAGUUCAGAUUGCAGGCUGCAACUCGCCUGCAUGAAGGAGGAAUCGCUAGUAAUCGCCGGUCAGCAUACGGCGGUGAAUCCGUUCCCGGGCCUUGUACACACCGCCCGUCACACCAUGGGAGCUGGCCACGCCCGAAGUCGUUACUCCAACCGAUGAGGAGGAGGAUGCCGAAGGCAGGGCUAGUGACUGGGGUGAAGUCGUAACAAGGUAGCCGUACCGGAAGGUGUGGCUGGAUCACCUCCUUUUUAGGGAGA